rnacentral:rRNA from 1 species
AGAACGAACGCUGGCGGCGCGCCUAACACAUGCAAGUCGAGCGAGAAUCCGGGGCAACCCGGUAGUAAAGUGGCAAACGGGUGAGGAAUACAUGGGUAACCUACCCUUGAGAAGGGAAUAACCCGCCGAAAGGUGAGCUAAUACCCUAUACGCUAUCAUUUUUUUCGAAAAGGAUAGGAAAGCCAGGUCGAGGACCUGGUACUCAAGGAGGGGCUCGAUGUCCUAUCAGCUUGUUGGUGGGGUAACGGCCUACCAAGGCGACGACGGGU